rnacentral:rRNA from 1 species
CAGUAGCCGCGGUAAUACGUAGGUGGCAAGCGUUGUCCGGAAUUAUUGGGCGUAAAGGGCUCGCAGGCGGUUUCUUAAGUCUGAUGUGAAAGCCCCCGGCCCAACCGGGGAGGGUCAUUGGAAACUGGGAAACUUGAGUGCAGAAGAGGAGAGUGGAAUUCCACGUGUAGCGGUGAAAUGCGUAGAGAUGUGGAGGAACACCAGUGGCGAAGGCGACUCUCUGGUCUGUAACUGACGCUGAGGAGCGAAAGCGUGGGGAGCGAACAGGAUUAGAUACCCCCGUAGUCCCUGUCUCUUAUCA